rnacentral:sRNA from 1 species
UGCUCUCCGGCACACCUUACGCAGCG